UACUGGUGGAGCACGUGGACGAGACAGGACCGAGAUUUACCAGCGCUGCUAGUUAAUGCAGCAUGCAGACUAUUGCUUGGAUAAUACUUAACCAGUUCAGGUUUACUAGCAGUGAGUGAACGUGGCGUGGUGUCGAGGAUAAACGAGCAACUCUGGUGUUUAUUGCACCCGAACACAAUGUCCCUUCAUUAUCGCCUGGCUGGAUUGCCUGAGAUAGCGGCUUUAAUCAGGUCCAGCAUUAAUAUGUAACGGUGUAAUCAGUCAAGACACAGGGAGUGUCGACGCCUCAGCUCCAGGCUCCUAAUAACCCCCCUGGAACAACAGUUGGCCUAAUUGCACCCACUGAAAAAAAGCCCUCUAUCAGUCAUGGAUUGAAAAGCUCUCUAUUCCUUAUGGCCUGGAACCCAGGAGUUCAUGCCAGAGGGGGAAAAAGUCACGUUUCCAUUUCUAAAGCUGUCCUGUUCUGUUCACGGCCACCGAGCAGGUGUGCGUCAGCUGGACCCGCGCCGCCCGGCCGCCGAGAACACAGAAACGAAUGUCUUCUGGAAGGCGCGGGGAGGAGUCGCGAGCGGCCGAGAGAGCGUCCGAAAGCUGCAAAUCGUGUCCGAAAGCCGCUCGUUCAGGAACGCCGAGGGGGACCGAGGGGGACCGAGGGGAGUCAGCUGCUGUGGAAAAGGGGGGUAGUGUGAGGAGGCAGCUGUGGACACAGAGAAAGAGAGAGAGUCCGGGCAUAGAGAAGCCUGUGUGGCGCUGGAGUCAUGCCAGUCUCCGAGCCUUCGUAUGCAUCCUAUAAGCCGCCGCUGGAAAGCAAACACGGACGAUAUACGAGCAGGAGCGAGUACGCUGUGAAUUAUAAACAGCUCAUUUAAAGGGAGCGCUUUCAUCCCAGGAGGAGUCUGAAACAAGGACGAGGAAAAUGGCUCUUUGUGGCACCCUGGAGGAACGAGCCAAAUUGAGUUUUACCUUAAAUAUUUCACUCACGCGAACCCCGUGCACACGCGUGUAUUUGGGAGAGGUAGUGAAAUGGAAUUUUGAAUUUAAAGGACUGGUCACACUGGAAGCACAUGAGAAAUUCUUUUGUAAUAUUUUUAUAACCAUCGGUGGGAUUCGGUCUCAUGACUAUCAUACAAAUAAAAGCAAUCAAUACUGA